rnacentral:lncRNA from 1 species
UUUUUUUUUUUUUUUUUUGGGGUACAUGGAUUAGGAUAAACUAGGAUAAGUCUAAAACACGCAGGAAUACCAAGUAUAUGCAUGAUGCAUCACUUAAUCUGUUAAAUUAAUUGUUGGUCAACUUUAUCUCCGUGUCUUGUCUCAUACCAUGCUCAUAAAUUAAAAUUCUUGUAUGUUGUCACGAAUUCUUUUUUUUUUUUCGGGGCACGGAAUCUAUGGAACAAUUGAUGUGGAUAGUUUGACCAUUUGUGAACAUGAUUUGGAAAAGCCAGCCUUUCAUUAAGUUAAACAACCAUCAUCAUUUGAUUAAUGUCGUAAUUCAUUUGAUUACAAGAAUCAUACUACGUACUAAAAUCUUUGUCGAGAUCCAGCCGUACCCUAUUCACAUGAUACUACAAAAGCUACAAAAGAACAGACGAGACGAGACUAUGAAGAUUCCUGAACUCAAUUCCUUCUUUCAUUCCUGAUUGUCAGAGUUAUAAAAGACGGACCAAAAGACAAAUUGCACGGACUCCGUUUCCCUAAUCUUUUACUUCAAUCGCCAAUAAUCAAAACUAAAUCAUCCUGCUAUUGACAAAAGAAACAAGAAGUAAAAAAAAAGGGUGGAUAAAACUGCAUAUAUGAUCGGUUGUCACCUGAAGUGCCAUGUGGCCCGUUGAAGAGGAAUCCGUGUCCAAGUUGCCAAAAAUGUGUCCUUUUUUUCCCCCAUUUUUUGGUAGGUAGAAUAAUAAUAGUUUUGAGGGUUCGAUUCCGAUCAUCAUCAUCAUCAUCGCAGGUUAAGGUCAAGGCAUGCUUUUAGAACCAUAGAUUCUCGCUAGCUGAGCCUGGCGACAAAAAGGUGUCCUUAGCUUUCGUUUCCAGCUGGUGACAAUUCGAGACGGCUGAUCAUCCGGGCACGGCUGCUGAAUUUUGUAUUUGUCGUCCCUUCAACUUUUGGGAUUCGGAUUCUUCAAUAGUGUGUUGCCUCUGAUCUAACUUUAUUUCUGUUUCGUUUUCGUGCUAUGGCAGAAAUGUUGCACAAUUCCAGUCAGCAUACUCUAUCACUUUCUAAUAUCUGCAUCAAAUGGUAAUUACAUUGGCAUUAAUCAAUAGUUUACGAAUAACUAAUCACUUCUUGGAUGGGUUAUCAAAGUCAAUCUGGUUAUGCAUGCUACAAUACGCAUUUUACCUUAUAUUGUACAUUAAAUUCUUCUCUAAUGACUAAUAUAUUGUUGAAUUUUAAAAAUUGUUGUUAAAUUUUGAUCCAGUUAGGGGGGCCAGGCAAAGUGUAGUUUACCUUUUAAUACCUGAAUUUUUACCAGAGACACAAAACGAGGGAGAAAAAAAAAAAAAAAAAAAAGGGGAAACCCCGUAGGCGUGCAACAAAGUAGUAACCAAAAUUGGGAUUGAAAUAGCUUAAUGCUAUUUUACUUCACCCCAAAAAAAAUAAGGAACAAAAUCAAAAGUGGCUGAACUCUGCGAAUUUAGGGCGGGGUGCUGGUGUGGCUAUUUAUUAGUUUGUGUAAUCAACUAGCAGAAAAUGACAAGAUAUAAUCGUUUCCAAGAGCACUAGUCCACGAAAAGGCCCAAAUUCGGUAAUGGGCUUAUAAGUUUGAAGCAAGAGUUUAUGCGCGAUCCCAUCAGAAGUUGUCUAUGUAGUUAACAUGUUGUUUAUAUAGUUGUGCUUGUAUUGAUUGGCAAUAUGAGCUUUGGAUGGUCAUGUGUUUUUUUUUUUUUUUUUGGGUGGCUAUGUGAAUAAAUUACAAAGUUUUUUUUUUUUGUGAAGAACAUUUAAAAAAAAAGUUCAGACCAAAUCCAUAAAAUUUCAUUUACACAUGGUAGCAAGGUGAUAACAUGCAGAUACAAGUCAUCAAGGGAUGGACAUGGAUGGAAGGAUGCAGAGGAAGGUAAUUGUGCCCUCAACCGAACAUGGUGAAUAGAGUUGGAAUCCGACUAGAGACACCAAGCCCUUGCGGAGGAAGCUCCUCGUCUAAAAGCGAGCCGAUAGAAUUGCAAGGGAUUAGGCAGGGAUUCAACUCAGCGUACCACAAAAAAUGGGAUUAAAGGAUCGAUGUGAACUUAACCCUUCUCUUAAUAUUUACACAGUUACUCAGCUAUAUGUUACCAACAAGAAACCAAUUAGCACUAAAUCUGCUGGCGGUGGGCUGAAAUAGAGCAACAUGCCUCUCGUUCCCGUCCCUCGAUCGAUCGGCCUGAUCUCUUCCAGUGUCCCAGUGGCUGUCUAUUCAUUGUAUCCUCUCGGUGCUUAGCCCUACUUGAUGAUUGGACUAGGUUACCAGCCAACGCUGCGGCGCCAAGAACCGACUGUUAUAAAACAGAAAACCAUUUGGCUCUAACCUUUUGGCUUUUUCAAGGUCGACGGCGAGAGAACAUGCGCACUGGGGCCAAUUUGUUCGGCAAUGCAGCGCGGUUUCCGUAAGGAGAAUGGAGGCUGAUGAAGAGUUAAAAGGAACGCCGCGAUUUGUCGCUCUCAAGUUGUAUAUUCUACACACUUUCUACUUCCGAAUAUCCAACUCCAAUACUUUCCACCUAUGUAUCUAUAUUUGUUCGAUCCCUCUUGAGUUGAGUUUAGGAGAACAAGAAUCUGAAAUGGUUUUCAUCUUUAGAUUUGAGCCCAAAUUUUCCCACAAGAAUCAAAAAUCAAUGUUUGAGCUUCCAACACUAGGGUUCUUCUUUCUCCUCGAAUAUUUUCUAUUUUUUCUUCCAAUCUAGGGCUUUAUCUUCUACAAAUCUACGACUUUAUCUUCUACACUUUACGUUAGUAGUGGGACUUUCCACACUCCCACUGCUUGUCCUUAAGCAUUUUUUUUUUUUUUUUUGCAUAGACUCAUUCAUGACAGUAUAUUUAAGGGGGGAAAAAAACUAUGUUGCUCCUCCUAAUGGACAGUUCAAAAUUUUGAUGAAAACCCCAAGCUCAAACAUCAGAAGUUUUAUAGGUUUCAACUUUUUAUAUGCUACAAAAUCUGCAACAAGAUUCACAAAUGGCAGAAAAAAAAAAUCCCAUAGAACUUAGUAUUUUAAUAAUUUAUUCUACGCUUAGUCAAAACGACUUGCAAUGAUUAAUCCAAAGUUGCAAGAAAGGCUAUAGCAACUUGGCUGUCUGGUGCAUAGUUGUAACUGAUCA